rnacentral:rRNA from 1 species
UACAGAGGUCUCGAGCGUUAGGCGGAAUCACUGGGCUUAAAGCGUGUGUAGGCGGAUUGCUAAGUACCUUGUGAAAAUCCCCACGGCUUAACCGUGGAACUGCUUGGUAUACUGGCUGUCUUGAGCCACUUAGGGGCGACCGGAACAAACGGUGGAGCGGUGAAAUGCGUAGAUAUCGUUUUGGAACGCCAAAGGUGAAAAACAGGUCGCUGGGAGUGUGCUGACGCUGAGACACGAAAGCCAGGGGAGCAAAACGGG